rnacentral:rRNA from 1 species
GUCCAAGGCCAUGCUACCCUGAACAAGUCCAAUCCCGUCUGAUCUCGGAAUCUAAGGAGGGUUGUGCCUGGUUAGUACUUGGAUGGCGGACCACCUAGGAAGACCAGGUGCUGUAGGCG